rnacentral:rRNA from 1 species
GGAGGCGGCGAGUUAGUAGCAGUAGGUGGCAAAGUGGCUUUGUUACCUAUUCCAUUAGGAACCGCAGAUUUUUUAGUCCGUCACAUUCAUGCAUUUACCAUACAUGUGACUGUAUUAAUACGUUUGAAAGGUGUUUUAUUUGCUCAGAGUUCCCGUUUGAUACCCGAUAAAACAAAUCUAGGUUUUCGCUUUCCUUGCGAUGGGCCUGGCCGAGGACGAACAUGUCAAGUAUCCGUCUGGGAUCAUGUUUUCUUAGGUUUAUUCUGGAUGUACAAUGCAAUUCCGGAAGUCAUUUUCCAUUUCAGUUGA